UGCAUGCAGACUACAUCUGCCAGGUGCGGUGCUAGGAGAGGCAGGUAAGAGAAGGUUCCGCCUCCCAGCACGUUUCCUUCUAAGGGGAGGCAGAGGCUAAACAAAUAUAUAUGACCACCCUGAACAGUUCCUGAAGGCAAAUAAGUGACAGUAUGUGGAGCGGGAUGUGACCUUGACCAGGGUCUGAGGUUUCCUGAAAGAAGCCGUGUUUGAGGCCUGAUCUAAAAGCUGAGCAGGAACAACUACCCAGGGAGCUCCCGUUGUGGCUCCUUGGGUUUUUUAGGGCCGUGGAUGUGGCCCUAAAAAAGACCCCCCCCCAAGAAAAAUCAUGAAGUUGAAUUUCAGAGAGGGAUAAAUGCUCCAAGGAGUGAUGCGAUGGAACCAAGGGGGAGGGUGGGCUGGGGGCUGCAGGGGGCGGGGGUCAGGGUCAUGCAACCUCUGAGGAUGCAAAGAGGUAGUGGAAAAGCAUUGCAGCUGGGGGGAACAGUCAAGGCAAAGUCUUGAGGUUGGACGAGAGACCAGGGGGCUGGAAGGGGAAGUCGUGGUGGGAGAGGGGCCCUGGGGGUGGAACAGGCCUGGACGGCCCUGGGGAGCUUAACCCUGGGGAGGCCUGGGGGGUUUCAGGCAGGAGUGAUGGGCUCCAUUCCCCCUGACCUGCCAGAAUCUCCCUUCUCGCUCAUUCUGGAAACCCCCUCAGCCCCAGUUCCCUAUUUCAGCCCUUUCCAGCCCAGCUGCCUCCCUUACCCCCGUUACAGGUACUCCCUGGGCUGGAAUUUCCCAAGAUCUGCCGUCUGGGAGGGGAACGAACACUGGUGACCAUCAUUGUCAAGGCCACGAUGGUUACGUUUUCACCAGAGCCACCUGCCCACAGAGACCUGGGAUAAUAGAGGCCAAAGGUGGCCCAUCAGCUCAGAAACCUGUAAUUCCGCACAUGCCCAACCAUCCACAGGGACCGGAAGGAGCCGAGCAGACGCCAGCGGAAACCCACAGAUGUUUGCAAUUGACAACAGACCCAUCAGCAGAUGUCCUUAAAGAAUUUGCCGGCACCUGCUGCCUGUUUACCAAUGCUCCCUCCGUGAAGUUCACCUUCAGCUCACGGUGACCACCGCCACCGCCGCCGCCACUGGGGCCCCAAGUCGGGGAUGCCUAGCUCGGGUGGCCCCUUGCUCUAGCCCCCAAGGACAGUCACUUGACCUCUCUGAGCCAGAGAUGCUGCAUGUGUGAAGGAGAAGUGGUAACGCUCACCUCCUAGGAUGGCGGUGACGAUUCGAAAUGAAAACGUCUAGGGCCCUUGGCGUGGGGUCAGCUCCAGGUAGGUGCCCGGUCAGUGGCAGCUGUCGUGAUUCCUCACCUCUUAGCCUCCGUUUCCCCAGCUGGGUUUGGACAGGGCUUAUCUAGAUCAGUGGUUCUCAGUUGGGGGUGAUUUUACCCCCCAGCUGUGGGGCAAGGGAAGCUGCUGGCAUCAGGUGGCGUCGGAGAUGCUGCCAACGUCCGACAGGGUGCAGGACAGCCACGCACAGCGGGGGAUUGUCCAGCCCCAAAUGUCCACAUGAUCUGUAUUAAGAAACCCUGGACUAAGUUCAUCUCUGCGUUUCCCUCGCAGUAGAGGAAGUUUGGGUUGGGUCUGUGUUGCCUUGUGCUGGGAGGGGUCUGGAGCAUCCAGGCUUUCAACCCGGACGUGGCCCCGUAGACUGGACCUCGGGCCUGGGACACUUCCUCCCAGGAGGCAAAGAGGCCCCUCAGCCUCAAAGCCUCAUGUGGGGACCUUGUUCCUGUUUCAGGCCCAACGUGUGCAUGUUUGUCUGGCUUAAGUGUGUGCAUGUGUCACGGGGCGCUUGGCCAGCCUCACUGCUGUAUUGUCCCCUGUGGGGAGGGGACAGGGUCCUGUGUUCAGUGACACAGGAGGGGUGCAUGGAUCAACUGCUGGGAGAGACCCGCUGGCCGUGGGGGACCGGAUAGAGCUAUUAGUAUGUGGUGUAUUGUCUGUUUCCCGCCCCCGCCUCAUACGUCAGUCAACUACCAAUGACUGUAUGAUGGUUGCACAGCUCUGAAUGUACUAAAAAUCAUUGAAAUUUACACUUUAAAUGAGUUGAUUGUAGGGUGUGUGAAUUAUAUCUCAAUGCAUCUGUUAGAAAAAAAAAAAAGUGGAUUCCAAGGUGCUUAGCUGAGCCAGGUUGUAUUCAGGGUAUUUCCUUAAAAGCCACACGUUUGGCCUCCAGGGGGCUGUGUUCGGCUGGUGAGACUUCGACAUUUUUCCUUCUGUGCUGCUUGCAGUUACCUAGAUUCCUUCAUCUGCCUGUCUCCCAUCUGGCGCCAAGAUAUCACGUGAUCUCCAUAUGCUGCCUCAAGUUGCCAGGGUGCCUCGACUGUGUCCCUGUCCGCCUCCAGGCCAUCCAUUCCUCAGAAUCAGUCUCUCACUCCAGCUGCGGUUACUCUUGCGAAGAGCCUCCGGGGGGAGUGUCCCUUGUGGCUCAGUGGAUUAAGAACCUAACUGGUAUCCAUCAGGGUGCGGGUUUGAUCCCUGUCCUCGCUUAGUGGGUUAAGAAUCCAGCAUUGCCUGAGGCAAGCUGUGUAAGUCACAGACAUGGCUCGGAUCCCAUGUUGCUGUGGCUGUGGUGUAGACCACCAGCUGUAGUUCUGAUUCAACUCCUAGCCUGGGAACCUCCAUAUGCCGUGGGUGCGGCCCUAAAAAGCAAAAAAACAAAAAAAGGCCUCCUGGGGGUGGGGGAUCAGGGCAAGCAAGAGGCUGUACCAUGAAUAGAAGGGUUUUAAUGCGGGGACCAGCCUCACAGCUGCUGGGAUUGUCAGAGGCCUGGGAACCUGGGGCAGGAGGGUGGCUGCAACCUGGUGCCCUUGACCUGGAGGUCACACGGUAGGUCUGCUCACCUGCUCCUGACCAACUGUGCAGAAGCCAAGAGUCUCGAGACCAGAGUUCCCGUUGUGGCCCAGCGGAAAUGACUAGGAACCACGGAGUUGCGGGUUCAAUCCCUGCCCUUGCUCAGUGGGUUAAGGAUCUGGUGUUACCAUGAGCUGUGGUGUAGGUUGCAGAUGUGGCUUGGAUCUGGCGUUGCUGUGGCUGUGGUGUAGGCCAGUAACUGUAGCUCUGAUUUGACCCCUAGCUUGGGAAUCUCCAUAUGCUGCCUCAAGUGUGGCCCUAAAAAAAAAAAAAAAAAGAGUCUCAAGACCAAUUUGAGAUAAUGGCGGUGGCAGCUGGGUGCAGAGGGAGGCUCCUGGGCACGGGUUUGAGUCCCACCUCUGCCAGCCCCCGGCUACGGACUCUAGGCAUGUGGUCUCCCUUACCCAAGCCUCAGCUCCCCCAUCUGUAAAGCGGGGCUAACAGCACCAUGUCGCUUGUAAGUUUGUGGUUAAAAAAAACCAAGGCAGUGACGUAUUCUAGAAAUACUUGGCCUGCGCUGUAGUGUGGAUUGGGAUCAGCUGUGUGUGAGGCUCUGGCGUUUAGCCCCGAGGUAAUUCUGGCAGGCUGUGUGACCCUGGGCAAAGCCCUCAACCUCUCUGAGCCCUGUAGCUACAUCUGUGAAAUGGAGAGAGCAGUUCUGCCUGUUUCACAGGAGCGCAGGCGAGGAUUAAGCGGGACUUGGGACUCGGCGCAACAGGUACCCGGUGGGCCUUGCCGCUCGGGGCCUCUUGACCUGGCUCUCGCCCUCCACACUGGCCGCC
rnacentral:lncRNA from 1 species